UUCGCCGGAAGAGGGGCCUGAGGAGGCUCUA
rnacentral:sRNA from 1 species